AAAAAAAAAAAAAAAGUGAAUACUUGGGUUAAAGGUGGUUGUAGAUCAUGAAAGCAGCUCCCUUAUUUUGCUAUAAAGUGAUCACAAAACCAAUUGAUCAAGGGGAAAAUUGGCACCCAGUCAAGUGCCACAGUCAAGGUUUCAUUUGAGCUGGGGUAGCUUGUGUUGCUUCAGGAUAUGUUGUACCAGGAAAAACUGAAGCAUUCAGAGCUGUACAGCAGGUAGAACUUGUUCCCACCGAUGGAUGCUUAUUUACUGCAUGCUCUUUUAGGAGAAGAUGUUUGUAUCUAAGUAGGGACUUUUCUGUGGCCACCACCCAGACACCUGCCCUUAGGAAAGAGAGUGUAAGCUGGGAUUGUUCAGUGGAAACAAGAUAUCUAGUGAAGCUCAGUGGGAUCUAAGCACCAAAUUACUUCAGUCCCUUUGAAAAUCCUAACCUAGAUUAGGCAGAGAGUAGGGCAGGGUGGCUGCUAAAGUACUGUUGGGUUUCUUCUCGGAUGGCAUCUUAUGAGGUAGUUUGUACAAAUCCUUAGCCUUGAUUAAGAGCUGAUCACACCAAGCACUUCUGGAAGUCCCAGUUGGGAAGGGGAGACAUGCCUGGGAAGCACUUCAGAGACUAAGGAAAAGAUUCCAGAGUCGUAACAUGAUGAUGGGGAGCAGGAAGAAACUUUUUUAACCUGGGUUGUGCAGAAGACCUUGAACCAGUAGUUUAUAUAUACCGACCGGGGGCUUGCAGUGCAAAGCCAGGCCAAUGUAUCGUUUUAUUUACAAUAAAAUUAUCAUUUAUAUUAAA